rnacentral:rRNA from 1 species
GAUUGAACGCUGGCGGCAGGCCUAACACAUGCAAGUCGAACGGUAGCACAGAGGAGCUUGCUCCUUGGGUGACGAGUGGCGGACGGGUGAGUAAUGUCUGGGAAACUGCCUGAUGGAGGGGGAUAACUACUGGAAACGGUAGCUAAUACCGCAUAAUGUCGCAAGACCAAAGAGGGGGACCUUCGGGCCUCUUGCCAUCAGAUGUGCCCAGAUGGGAUUAGCUAGUAGGUGGGGUAAUGGCUCACCUAGGCGACGAUCCCUAGCUGGUCUGAGAGGAUGACCAGCCACACUGGAACUGAGACACGGUCCAGACUCCUACGGGAGGCAGCAGUGGGGAAUAUUGCACAAUGGGCGCAAGCCUGAUGCAGCCAUGCCGCGUGUAUGAAGAAGGCCUUCGGGUUGUAAAGUACUUUCAGCGGGGAGGAAGGCAUUGUGGUUAAUAACCACAGUGAUUGACGUUACCCGCAGAAGAAGCACCGGCUAACUCCGU